GAUGAACGCUAGCGGCAGGCUUAAUACAUGCAAGUCGAGGGGCAGCAUGGUGUAGCAAUACACUGAUGGCGACCGGCAAACGGGUGCGGAACACGUACACAACCUUCCUUUAAGCGGGGAAUAGCCCAGAGAAAUUUGGAUUAAUACCCCAUAGUAUAUUGGUUAGGCAUCUAACUAUCAUUAAAGAUUUAUCACUUGAAGAUGGGUGUGCGGCUGAUUAGGUAGUUGGCGGGGUAACGGCCCACCAAGCCUGCGAUCAGUAACUGGUGUGAGAGCACGACCAGUCACGCGGGCACUGAGACACGGGCCCGACUCCUACGGGAGGCAGCAGUAAGGAAUAUUGGUCAAUGGACGAAAGUCUGAACCAGCCAUGCCGCGUGGAGGAUGAAGGUCCUCUGGAUUGUAAACUUCUUUUAUAUGGGACGAAAAAAGGCUUUUCUAAGUCGUCUGACGGUACCAUAUGAAUAAGCACCGGCUAACUCCGUGCCAGCAGCCGCGGUAAUAC
rnacentral:rRNA from 1 species